rnacentral:rRNA from 1 species
UACGUAGGGUCCGAGCGUUGUCCGGAAUUACUGGGCGUAAAGAGCUCGUAGGCGGCUUAGUAAGUCGGGUGUGAAACCUCCAGGCUCAACCUGGAGACGCCACCCGAUACUGCUGUGGCUAGAGUCCGGUAGGGGAGCGUGGAAUUCCUGGUGUAGCGGUGAAAUGCGCAGAUAUCAGGAGGAACACCAGCGGCGAAGGCGGCGCUCUGGGCCGGUACUGACGCUGAGGAGCGAAAGCGUAGGGAGCAAACAGG